UUCUGUUUCAGUAGUUGUGCCCUAAAAAAAAAAUUUCAUAUGAAAUAACUAUUAUUUUUAAAGGGCAGCAAAACCCAAAGUGUUCCCACAAUAGGUGUUAUUUAGCUAAAUAUUCACUGUGCUUUGUCAGAUGUAAACAGCUCACUAAGGCAUUGCUAGAAUCAUUGUUCUUGGGAAGGGUUUGAAAGCCCAUCAUAUUCUCAGAAUUCAGGGAUGCCUGGGUUUGUGAUCAAGAUGGACUUUUCUAAUUCCUCCAUCUUGGGGCUUUGGGCUGGAGGGAUCCUGCUUCAGGAUAGAACAUUUUAGCAUUUUAGUCAAUCCUAUCUAGAGCUUCAAACUGAAACAUAUUACUCCUUGAUUUACUCACAUGUUAUUAGAUCCUUAUAUAUAUUCAUG
rnacentral:lncRNA from 1 species